UUUUCUUUCUCAAUCUUCUCUCUCCUCUUUGAGAUUAUCUCAUCCGUUUCUCCCGCAAGCUCCGAUUUUUUCCGCCAUUGUCGACAACCGUACGUGACUCCGGCCAAGCUUCAGUCACAGACUCACAGGUAUUGUCGAACUGCGCAACCACACUGCCACCUCCUCCGCCGCUUCCCGGAGCCCUCUCCUUCACUCCUCCACCGCCAACAGAGCCGGAGCUCACGUAACUCUGGCGAGCCUCGGAGGGAACCGCCGCAGGCCGCAGCGUUUCCUCCUCUCCCUCCCUCUCUUCACCACCGUCGCGCCGCCUCUCUCACCGGAGGUACCCACGUGCGUUUUCGACAUUCAGAAGAGCUUAAUUUCACCAACCCACUUCACAUUCGCUGUUCCGAACAGCAUUCCCUCAGGCUCUUAUCCAAUUUUGCCUCUUGGUGUUUACCUGGAACCACCGUUCGACGCCAACCAUCGCCUGCGACAAUCCGUUUUGCACAGCAGCACAUGGAAAUGAUGUAUAUUGGAUUGUUGAAACCGAGAAGAAGCCACGAAGGAACCAUGGCCUGAGAUUACAAAAAAUUGUCUUUUAGAUGAAGGAUGUUGCUCUGGUUAUUGGUUAGGACUGGAGAAUCCAAUUUCUCCUUUAGCUGCCGGCAAGGUUUUAGGUAUCAACAGAAGUGUAGCCUGGUGAAUGUGAAAUUGAAGUGGGUGAAAGAUCGGGAGCUUGACACUGUUGUUUCAGGGGAGAGGGAUCUCAAAGCAGUGAACUUCCUUAUUUAUAUUAUUGCCUCUGCUCCGCAGUGUUGCCUCCCUGUAUACAACCUCUCUCGCUCUCGUGGACAACUUGGCCUGCCCCACGAUCUCAAGCUCUCCACGUUUAUCAGGAGAUACCCAAAUAUUUUUCACGAGUUUUAUACUCCUGACAGUGGAGGGACUCCCGUUCCCUGGUUUCACUUGACACCUGAAGCCCAUGUACUCCACCAGGAGGAACUCAGCGUUUUGCAACAGAACCAUAUCGAUGUCCAGAACAGGCUUUGCCAAUUGCUUAUGCUCACUAGAGAUAGGAUCCUUCCUGUACAAACUAUUGACCAGUUGAAAUGGGAUCUUGGAUUGCCCUAUGAUUAUCAGGAAUCACUGAUUUUAAAGAGUCCAGAAUUAUUCUCUUUAGUUAGGCUACCUGAUGAUCGUAUUGGCGUGAAACUUCUAUUGUGGGACAAUCACCUAGCUGUGUCUGAAUUGCAGAAGAAUGCACCUUUACUGCAGAAGGAAGAAGAUUUAAAAGACGGCAUCCUAUCUUUUCCGAUUCGGUUCACGAGAGGCUUUGGGCUGAAGAGAAAAUGCAUGAAGUGGCUAGAAGAAUGGCAGAGGCUUCCUUAUACUUCUCCUUACACGGAUGCUUCCCACUUAGAUCCUCGUACUGACGUAUCGGAGAAAAGGAUUGUCGGAGUCUUUCAUGAGCUUCUACACCUCACUGUCAAGAAGAAAACAGAGAGGAAGAACGUAAGUAAUCUACGCAAUCCAUUAAGUUUGCCCCAAAAGUUCACCAAGGUUUUUGAGCGCCAUCCAGGAAUCUUUUACAUUUCGAAAAAGACUGAUACUCAGAAUGUGAUCCUUAGAGAGGCUUUUGAGGGAAGGCGUCUCUUGUAUGAACACCCCAUGGUACAAUUCCGGGAAAAAUUGGCAAGCAUGAUGAGGAAAGGUUUUCUAGACAGAAGCAGGGGGAAUUACAAAAGUUCUGCCGAUGACGAUCUGGCAGAAGAUGCUGGCGUGGCAAUCAGCGAUGAUCAACAAAUUUCUGAACAAGAGACAGAUGCUUAUAUGUUUUCUGAUUAUGAGUCGGAUGGUACUUUGGAUGAUCCUCAUUGGAAAACAAAAGGAAAAUCCUCCCGGUGCUAAAGUGGCAUUUGUGGUCAAGGGAAGCGGCUAUAUUGGGGGUAAGACAGAUGAGUUUUCUAUGAAGGGAAACUGCACUGCACAGAUCUCACUUCAUGGUGACUGCUGGUCUAAGGACAUCUUAUAUCAAUUUGCUCUGUUCAUUUGAUCUUCAGGUGAGAAAGACAUGAAUACUGGCAACUUCCAGGGAGGCGGCCUUCUUGCAAGGCCGUGGAAGAGUCAUCUUUAAGGCCUGGUGGCUACGUUAAUUUGGCCAAAGUUUAUCAGCAUCUGAAUGGGGAUUCUAUUAAUAUCAGCUGAGAUUUCAGCGAAUCUGCUCGGAAUCAUCCUGGACAUCUGAAGUAUGUCGUCCGGUUUGGCAUGAACAGCAGCCGAACGCAACCGAACACAGUCCGGUUUCACACUGCUGCAGUUCAAAUCCAGUUUGAGUUUGCUCUAGAAUAGCAGCUAUUUUCAUUC